GCGACCGCCUGUCUUCUUGACAGCCCAAGUCACGGAAAGGAGACAAACACAGAGUAGGUCCUACCUGGAGUCUGCCCUGUGGCUGUCUGAGCUGACACAGAAUGACAAAGCUUGGAUAUACAUAUUUAAAAUAUCUCUUCCAUCUCCCCCUCCUUUUGUGAAAGAUAGCUGUAUGCAUUUGGCCCAAGGCCUGUUACAGUUUUUCUGGAGGCAGCCAGACUUGGAACAUUCAAGAACACAGACGUAGGAACUGCAUAAAAAGGAGGAGCUCUCCCACCCUCGUCGGAGUGAACCGCUUGCCGUCUGACAGCAAACCUUUUGGGAAACAGCCAGCCUUGUCACCGUGCUUGAAGGCUUUUCAGGGCAUAGAGAGGACACGGUGCAGCUUGGCAGGCGCGUUCCGACUCCGGUCUGGUGUAGGGGUUGCACUCAGUCUCUCUGGCUGUUUUGUGUGUUCCCGUCUGACAGCUCACACUUCUCCACCGUGUGCCUUGGCCGCAGGACACAGAGCACUAAGAAGAAAGACUGUGUGUUACCCAAGGCCCCAAGGGUGGAAUCCACUCGGCCAGGUAACAACUAUCCUGACGGAAAGAGUCAUCCCUCCCCGUCCCCAAGCUCCCCUCUGAAAAACCAAACCUGUGCAGACAAACACAACCAACACGCCGGUGUCAGCCACGUGGCCCAAGGUAAGGAAGCAGUCGUAGAGGAGAAGCAUUGCUCACCUGACUCCAGGCGCCAGCUUUCCAUUUGGGGCAUCUUCCUCCUCUGCACUUUCUGUGCCCACUUGGCUUAGCAAGGUGUUUACAGUAAUCACUUUCUAAAUGGUUUCCAUCUUUUGCCAUGCAGUAAACAUUUCGUUGUUUAUGCCCUCGACCACAAGAGACAGAACACUGAAAUAUAAAGCAAUGGCAAGGUUGUUGUUGUGUUUUUUUUUUUAAAUCACAUGGAGUUUGAUAAAAACCCGUGUCGUGAGAUGUUAAGAUCAUACCUGACAAGAGUCACCAUCUCCCCCCUUUUCCAACACCAUUUAAGGUAAUAUCUCAACGCUCUACACGGCAAGAAGAUAGCAUUCGGGGAAAAAAAAUGUCCGUAGUAUUUCAGCAGCAAUCCUGCCUAGUAUUUUGGGUUCUUCAAGAGUGCGGGUAAAUCCUGACAAUUUUGGCCAAAAAAUAAAGCCAAUGAACCUGAAAUUACCAUGACAUCCUGGGAUUCUAAAAAAUCUUCCUAUGAAUUAGAAAGGAUGCCUUUCUCACAACUCACUUUAUGCAGGAUCAGGAUACUUCUUCAACCAAAUGCCUUGCAAUUCACUGAUGUGGAUAAAUGUGCAUUUCCAAAAUACAACUGUGUCCAAUUUCCUAAUGAAAUGAUUUAAGGAAAUUCUCCUACCAUUUUUCAGAGGAUAAACUCUCAUUUUCCCAGUCCGUUGGGAAGGAGGUGAAAAAGCCACAUUAGAAACCGAAAGGUAAGCUGGCAGACGUGUGUGGUCUCUCAGACAUCAAGGAGCCAGCAAACAACCCCAGUGUGUCUGCCAGGAUGAGAAGGGCUGAGGACCUAGAGAGAGGGAGAUUCCUGUGUUGCCAAGGCAGCCGUGAACCUGAACAUGUGUGCAAAGACAGAGGAGAGCGCGGAAUUGGACCCUGGGAAGAAAGACACUUAUACUGCAAAUACACAGUCACAUAAACGGAAACAUUCUGUUUAUGUGUAACGUGUGAUGGAGGAUGCUGAUCAACUAGCCCAUAUAUCCAACCACGGGACUGGCUGCCAGCAGGACCACCAUGGCACUUAUUACCAUGAAAAGGAGCCGAGAAAGCAGGAGAUUGGCAGGGAACACCAUGGAAGAAAGCAGAUGCGCGAGUCACGGUCAUCCCAGCCGGAUGGGGCACGAGGCCAUCCUUCCAUCUCCGUUGCCCCCAUCACCGACAGUCUUUGCAGUACUCCAAAGGUCUAAGACCGUGGGAGAAAAGGAACUAAGGAUCACAUGUCAACCCUUGGGGCACACUCGAAGGCUGCUCUCAAUACUACAGCCAAGUUAUAGGUGAUGAUUAUUUGUAAUCUGACAUCAGCAGAAUAAUCUUGCAGGAAAGAGGUGGAGAUGACAGAAGGACAGAGAUGACACAGGACAGAAUCCCUGUGCUUACCCCGGGAUUAUUCAUGAAGGCAGUCUGGAACAUAGGGGGAUAGGAGGACCAGGAGAGGCAUCAUCUAAAAUGUUCUCUGACCCACCAUGCUCAGAGUUGAGCCUGCUCUUUGGAAGGUAUAUUCGUAUGGGUGGUGUGGAGGUUGGAGACACGGCAUUUGCUUUCUGCUAGAGCACGGAAGAUUUGCAAAGUGGCAAAGGGAAGAGGAGAGGUAGAGCUUCAGAAACUUUCUUCCUCAGAGGUUCAUGCGCUGAAAAGCCAACUUAAUGCCACACAUCUGGAAAAGCUGAUCACCUACGUAUGGCUUCCUCUUAAGGAUUUAAAAAAAAACUGGUGGGAAAUAAUUGAAGGCAUUGAUGGUGAAAACCUGCUGAUCUCUACAACGUAACAAUUUAUCUUUCCAGAAAGGAGAAAGGAAUUUUAUAACUUUUAAUUUUUAAUUUUAUAACUUUAAGGACUUCUCUGACUUAAAAAAAAAUAGGAAUUUUGUAUCAGACACAUUUGGGAAAUGCUGCAGUCUAUAUAUAGCCCACCUAAUGCCCAUGAGAAUAUGGAAAGAAAAGUUUUACUGUCAGAAAUCCAUAGAGAUGCAGGGAGGAGGCAAUAUCACCGCCCAGGGGAUGUGGCAACGUUUGAAGACAUUUUUGGCUAUUACAACCAAGACGAUGGUUGGCAUCCAGUGGGUAGAAACAAGGAUGCUGUGUGACAUCUUACCAUGCACAGACCAGCUCCCCAACAACAAAACUACCUGGUCCCACAGGUCAACAGUGCUGAGACGGGGGUAUCCUGAUUCACUCCUAUUUACAACCCAUACAAGACUUUCUGCACCUCUGCCUUAGUCUCUAAUCAGAAAUACACUCUGCUACUUCUCUGAUCAAAUGCAAAUGAGGAGUGAAUCCUACUUUUUAAAAGUAUCCAAAAGAAAAACCAAAAUGUUCAACUCUGACACACCAAUUCCUAGAUACAGCCGGACUAUUACACAUGUUGCAAAUUCUAUCGUGGAUGAGGGAAAUACUGAUGCUGGAAACACGGAGUUAAAAGCAACAUACAAGUAUGAACUAUCAGUGCUACCAGAACAAUCCAAAGGUUUGAACAUGGCAGAGUAGCCCCUUUUAGAAAUGCCCAUCCUCGUGUGUGCCUUUGUUUCCAAAGUUGGUCACUCCUGCCAAAAUUGCCAUGCAGAAUGUCUACGCGUUACAUUGGACACAUUUGUAGACAUUUAUAACAAUUCUCCCUCCCGACUUCAAAAAAAGAAGGAGGGACUCUACUCAUUGGUUUGCAAAUUCAGUCUGGUAAGACAACGUUGAGGCCUCAUAUUUUCAGCUCAUCCUUGAAAAUGUUUGACUGACCUUGAUGGCUUCCCACAAUCCCACAUAAUAUAUAAUGGAAAAUUCAACUCUCUGGAGAGAACUGUUUUCUGAUAGCUGGCCAGUGACAUUCCAUGGGGCUUGCAUCUGUGACCUUGAGUUUGACUUUUGCUGAGGAGUCCUCCCUCUCCUCACCAGAUGUCUCUUUAGGGUUUCACAACCUUGGUACCAUGUCAACAUCUUGGGUGAGAUAAUUCUUUGCUGUUGGGGGCUAUGCUGUGCCUUGUAGGAUGCUUAUCAACAUCCUUGGCUUCCAUUUAUUAGAUACAAGUAGCACCCCCAACCCAUUUGAGACAUUAGUCCCCAGACGUUGCCCAAUGUCCCCAGGGGGUAAAAAUCACCCCCAGUUGAAAACCACUGACUUAUCCUAAGGUUUUCAGAAAGUCCUUCAACAAAAUCUCAAAACGGAAUUGAUUUUAACUGAUUUAAUAGCCAUGGUGGGGCACAGAGAGCUUUUUCAUGGAAGGAAGUGGUAAAAGGCCUGCUGAACAUCAAUCCAAGAUCAAGGUCUUAGGCUAAAAGAGUUGGGAAGUCCUGGUCUCCAGAGAACGUGACAUGGACAACGUGAAACCAAUUCCCACACACAGCAAUGACUACAAUGAACAAACACGCUCUUCGGGACAGCACUUCCUCCCUGACAUCAUGUCCCUGGCCUGCCACCGCUAAGAGUUCCCGGAUAUUUCACAUAUGAUUAAAAAGACAACCAAUGAGAAGGAAAUCAUGAUUUCAACAAGAAAGGGCACAUUGUAAUGCAGAAAUAGGGCUCCGUGAAUAUGAAAAGCUGCCUUCCGGAGACUUCCUUCAAAGAGGGAAUGAUCUCUUGGAAUUCAAGCUUCUACAAGGUGACUACCUGGUGUUUUCCAUUUUUGUCUUCUCCUAAAAAGCAUCAAUCACGCCUUGCCCUUUCGGCCCACUGAACACAUAAACACUCUUUUUCCCUAACUGAACUUACUGCCACGAUGAACUUGAACUCUAAGACGCACAAGAGGAGAGUUGUUUUAACAGCUGCUUUUACACUGAGGCUCUGGAGUUACUACCCUCAAGACAGCUGGUUCUGAUAAGCCUCUCUUCCCACUGUCCUGUUUUUUCUAAUGCCCAGCUGUCAGGGAACACCCACUAAAGUGUUCCAAAACAAAGGCACAAAACAGAAGAAAGGCAAGAGAAUGGUACUCAUUUGGAUGCAAGGGCAUCCUACAUAGGGACCCUUUACGAGCCGACACAGGGUUUUUCUCCCCAACUUGCUUUUGUAAGUUUACGGAUUUCUCGGCUAGUUGCGGAUUAAUUGCUAAAGACGUUGCCUGAGGUUGCCCUGUCCAAUAUGGGAGCCACCAGCAACAGGUGUCUGUUUGGAUUUGGAGUAAUUAAAACGAAAUACAAUUUAAAGUGCAGUAUCCCUGUCGCACAUUUCAAGUGCUCCAUAUAAGCCACAUGCAGCUGGCAGCUUCCAUGCUCGAAAGCAAAAAGAGAGAACAUUUCCCUCAUUGUAGAGACUUAUUGGACUGCACUGGCCAAGACAUACGCUCUUUCUAAGAGGGGAAAGGGGAUGCAGAUCUGGUAAGAAUGAUGGUUUUGUCCGUUGGGCCUGUAUCAAUUAUCUUCCAUACGACUUCCUGUACACUCUUUUCUUGGCUGCCAAUGUUCCAUUUUCUACAUUUUUGGAAGGGGAGGUUGUGGUCUUUGAAACAAUCCAUGAAAAGGAUCCCACUUCAGAGGAAACAAAACCACAGGAAGCAAAGGUGGUGGUGUGGCAAUCCCCACGUUCUAGAUGUUUUUAUUGGUGAUCAGCAAAUAACAAAGGGGAAAAUGUACCUCGGCCAGGGCUUCCCACGUUUGGGCGGAGGCUGAGGACCCUGACAGAGAGAGAUGGAAAGCCAGGAUCUCUGC